UACGGGGGGGGCAAGCGUUGUUCGGAAUUACUGGGCGUAAAGGGCGCGUAGGCGGCUUUUCAAGUCGGGCGUGAAAUCUCCGGGCUUAACCCGGAAGGGUCGUUCGAUACUGUUGAGCUAGAGUGUGGAAGAGGCAACUAGAAUUCCGUGUGUAGCGGUGAAAUGCGUAGAUAUCUGGAGGAACACCGGUGGCGAAGGCGGCGUUCUGGACUGCAACUGACACUGAGGAACGAAAGCCAGGGGAGCAAACGGG
rnacentral:rRNA from 1 species